AUCAGCUGCACCUUUAGGAGAGUCUCCAGAUGGCUCUUCGGGGAGAGAAGUUAGAGACUGAUCAACGUCCAAAAAAAGUAUCUCAUCGGGUGGCAAAACACCGGCUUCACCUUGUUGUGCCUCCCAAGGACAACUUGAAAAGGGCAAAGUGGAGCUGCCCCCGUUCCCCUUGUGCGGGGCUCAGAAGACUGCUCACGAGCUCUGGUGGCAGUGUGACCUCAGGAGCUCUCCAGGAUGCGCAGUCUGGGGUUUUAUGCCCAAGCCUGUCCCGUGCUUGGCUAACGGCCUCGCUAUGUCGCAGGAUACUGAGCAGAGCUGCUGGGGCGUGCUAGCCUGGGGGAAGCCACGGAGCCACUGGGUGCCCAGGUAAGGAAUGGAGCUGGGAUGUGCCGUGGGGACCGGCUGGAAGGGAAAGGGAACAAACUGCUAUGGCCACUAGCCUGCGUCAGGCCGCUGGGAACGUGGCUGAAAUGAGCCCUGGGAGCGCCCCCCUUGCUGCGUUCCUGCCCUCGGGUGCAGCGCUGUGUCCUGAUGGAAGGAGGGAGCCCUUUUUGCCCCCCUAGAAGGGAUUGGCGCUGGCUGGGGGAUGUUGCCCCAUCCUGUUGGGUCCCCAAGGUGAGAUAAAAGCACGCGUUCAGCAGGACCUGCUGCUGCCAAGUCCCUGCCCUGCUCUCGUCCCCGGCCCGCUAAGACAUGUGAAUGAAGCCAGGGGGGUGUAGCAAAGCCAGGAAACCCGCCGUGCUUUUAGGAAAUAGCACACUCUGGAAACUGUCCCACUUUCUGGAGAAGUCUGGGCUCCUGACAGAAGCAUGCUUUAGAUAAAUUGCUUUCGUUGGCUUGUUUGAUAUUAUUCGUGUCUUUACAUACGUCAGGAGGGAGGGGGAUGCAUAAUGUUAGGGGGGCUGUGUGUUCGCUUCGCUGCCUGGUGAGCUCUGGAGCCCACCUCCCUCAGCAUCCUGCUCCCAAGGGAUACGAGGCUGGGCAACGAGCCUGCUCCACCUCAGGGAGACCAGCCCUGGCCCCCAGCCUGCCCUCGUCACAGAGGGGACAGCGAAGGCGUUUUCCCUGGCAGCAGGCAGCGCAUGGCCCCGAACAUCCCCUCUCUGCUCAGCCCUAAUCCAAUUCAGCCCCCGUCCUCCACUUCUCCCCUGCAAGGCUGCGGGCGUGAGAGGCCGGCUGCUUUGUUUGGGGCUGCACAGAUUAGCUCUCCCCUCGGGAGCAGCUUGCUCAGCUUGCACUCGAGAUAACGGGGCCGUGUCCUCCCGGCUGUCGGACUCCUCAGCAGCUGCCGGAGCUGUGAUUAGCCUCAAUUUAUGCAGGCUGUUAAACAAACACCUGCAAGCUUCGGGGGCAGAGAAGCCAAGUCAUUUUUGUAAGCAGCUAGGCACGUAUUGAACUGAGAACGCCGUCCUUUUCUUGCAGGGCUCUCGGAGCUUCCAGACAUCUCUAGUUCCCGUGACACUUGUAGGGCUACGAGCCAGAGAGAACGCUGGGCACUGUGGUGACUCUAAUAUUGUGUGAUGUUCUCACAGUACUGGGUUGAUUGCGGUGGGGACGAGCACAGUUGUGACUUCUGGGGCUGCUGCAAUAGCCGACAAUUUCUAACCUUGUUCUGCUCUUAUUGCUUUCUCUGAUGUUUGCUGUUCUCUGUAGCUUACCCCUAAUCCCCAGCAAAAGCCCUGCCAUUAUUGCCAGCAGUGUGAUAGGUAACGUAGCAGGGGCACCGCGAUGUCAAGAUCUAUUGAAGUGUUAAUAAAAGGGCUUACUGUGGAGAAAAGGAAAUCCUG
rnacentral:lncRNA from 1 species